rnacentral:rRNA from 1 species
UACGUAGGGUGCAAGCGUUGUCCGGAAUUAUUGGGCGUAAAGAGCUCGUAGGCGGUUCGUCGCGUCGGAUGUGAAAACCCGGGGCUCAACCUCGGGCCUGCAUUCGAUACGGGCAGGCUGGAGUUCGGCAGGGGAGACUGGAAUUCCUGGUGUAGCGGUGAAAUGCGCAGAUAUCAGGAGGAACACCGGUGGCGAAGGCGGGUCUCUGGGCCGAUACUGACGCUGAGGAGCGAAAGCGUGGGGAGCGAACAGG